GAACGUGUUUGUUCUUUUCCCGGCUAUGCCGCCUCCUGUGGUGCUCUUCUCCUCCCGGACACCCAUCCUUCUCAUCCCAGACUCCGAUCCGCCGGCGGUGGAACUGGACUUCCCCUGCGUCCUAGUGCUUCUUCGUUCGAGAUCGAGCGGCCUCGAUCGGGGCUAAGGCGGCGGAUCGAUACGCGACGCCGAACGAGAGUGCCCAAAGGAACCUCGCGGGCUUAAAGGUGAGCUAGGAAUUAUUUGGGUCAGAGUCAUCCAGCUUUAGGCCAGUGAGAUCUCAUUAGCAUCAAGUCGUGACUCAUGACAACUACUUCCAUCAACAAACCAUACAAUCUUUGAUAUGACCGUGCAUUUACUCAGUGUAAUACAUGGGGCAUGCAUAGAGAGCUUUCAAUCAUGCAUGACACACAUGAUUUCAGCUUUGCGUCUAAAACAUGACUCCAUGCGCAUCAAGAAAAUCCACCAACAACUGCAGUCUACAGCGACGUAUUACUUGCUGCCGAAACCCAGUGGCUGUCAGGGAAUAAAAAUAGCAAGUGUUUUAGUAGCAAUUGCAAAAAUCUAACAUGUACCAAAAGGAAAUAUCCCAAUCUACUAAGUAUGAGGAGGCCAAGACUUGCAUCACCGAAAGUGUAGAGAUCAGAUUCUUAACUUGGGUUGUCCUCUUCUUUCAAAAAGUAUACCUGUUCAU